UACGGGGGGGGCAAGCGUUGUUCGGAAUUACUGGGCGUAAAGGGCUCGUAGGCGGCCAACUAAGUCGGACGUGAAAUCCCUCGGCUUAACCGGGGAACUGCGUCUGAUACUGGAUGGCUGGAGGUUGGGAGAGGGAUGCGGAAUUCCAGGUGUAGCGGUGAAAUGCGUAGAUAUCUGGAGGAACACCGGUGGCGAAGGCGGCAUCCUGGACCAAUUCUGACGCUGAGGAGCGAAAGCCAGGGGAGCAAACGGG
rnacentral:rRNA from 1 species